UAGGUAUUAGUUAAAUAAAUAAUAACUCUUAAAUUGCAAUUAAAAAUUGAUUUUAAUAAAAUCAUACCU
rnacentral:tRNA from 1 species